AGUGGCUCAGGCCUGUAAUCCCAGCACUUUGGGAGGCCAAGGCAGGCGGAUCACUUGAGGUCAAGAGUCCGAGAGCUGCCUGGGCAACAUGGCGAAACUCCUUCUCUACAAAAAUACAAGAAUUAGCUGGGCGUGGUGGUGGGUGCCUGUAAUCCCAGCUAUUCAGGGGGUUGAGGCACGAGAAUCGCUUGAACCUGGGAGGUGGAAGUUGCAGUGAGCCGACAUGCACCACUGCAUUGCAGCAUGGGUGACAGAGCAAGACUCCAUCUCAAAAAAGAAAAAAAAAAGGGAGAGAGAAGUACUUAAAAACGCACAUACAUAAUAGGAGAAAGGACUAUCUAUAAAACUGUAAUAAUGCUAUCAUUGUCAAGGUUUAUGCUUAUUGUUGUGUGUCACAAACAUAAUGAAUCAACUCCAAAGGCAGGGAUAUAUGUUUUAUUCAUUGAUGUACCCCAAACACCUAAAAUGGUAACACAUAGUAGAUACUACUAUUAAGUAUAAUAGUAGGUGCUCAACAUAUAUUUGUGGAAUAAAUAGUGGGGAAAUUUCUGGCACUGGGAGUCAGGUGAUCCGGAUGCUAGUAUUGUCAGUAACUGGCAGAGUACUUGUAUGCUAAUCGUGGAACUUGAUGCUAAGGCCCAGCUUAAAAUUCCUUAAAGUGUAAAUGACUUCUUCAUUAUGAUGGUUACAUUAGUGCCCUUUGAAACAGCACUAGAGGCUGGGCUGAUGGCUUACACCUAUAAGCCCAGCACUUUGGGAGGCUGAGGCUGUUGGAUCACCUGAGGUCGGGGAGUUCAAAACCAGCCUGGCCAAUAUGGUGAAACCCCAUCUCUACUAAAAAUACAAAAAAUUAGCCAGACGUGGUGGCGGACACCUAUAAUUCUAGCUCUUGGGAGACAGAGGUGGGAGAAUCGCUUGAACUUGGGAGUGGGAAGUUGCAGUGAGCUGAGAUUGCACCACUGCACUCCAGCCUGGGCACGAAAGAGUGAGACUCUGUCUUGGGAA
rnacentral:lncRNA from 1 species